rnacentral:rRNA from 1 species
UACGUAGGGGGCUAGCGUUGUCCGGAAUCAUUGGGCGUAAAGCGCGUGUAGGCGGUCCGGUAAGUCCGCUGUGAAAGUCGGGGGCUCAACCCUCGAAUGCCGGUGGAUACUGUCGGGCUAGAGUGCGGAAGAGGCGAGUGGAAUUCCUGGUGUAGCGGUGAAAUGCGCAGAUAUCAGGAGGAACACCAAUUGCGAAGGCAGCUCGCUGGGACGUUACUGACACUGAGGUGCGAAAGCGUGGGGAGCAAACAGG